UUUGUGCUAUAGACAAAGUUUGCCCCCCCCCCCCAAAUUUUAACUCCUCAGUGUGAUGGUAUUAGGCGGUGGGGCCUUUGGGAGGUGAUUAGGUCAUGAAGGUGGAGCCGUCAUGAAUAUUUGUGCCCUUACAAAAGAGACCCCAGAGGGCUCCCUUACCUCUCUGCCGUAUGAGGCGGCAACAAGAAAAUGCCAUCUAGGAACCAGGAAGUGGGUCCUCCCCAGACACCGAAUCUGCUAGUACCUUGAUCUUGGACUUCCCAGACUCCAGAACUAUCCAGAAAGGCCCCAGACAUUCAGAUCAAAUAGGUAAAACAAUGGAUGAUCCAAAUUGUUGAUGGCCUCUCCCCAUCCAGGUGCCCAUCCACCUAUGAGAAAGAGUCCAGAGCCAAAGAGCCUUGCUCCUCCAGUAAUGGUAAGUAAUGUAGGAAAGGAGCAAACAGACAGACACUUCCUGUACCAGUAGGAGUUAUCACCAUGCACCUCAAGUACCCGCAUCAGAAAACAAAGCCAAAGCAAUCAAACACCAAACCAGAACCCAAGAGAACCAAAAAUAACAAGGUUACCCUUGCACCCUUCCUUGUAUGUUCCAGACUCACAACAAAACAAGCUUACCUCUGACUUUCACAUUCCGGAUGUCUAAGGAUACGACAUGUUUGUGAAUACGAAAAUCAUGUCCAAAAACGCUUUUCCAUCAUGAAUGGACUAACUGUAAGAUUAGUAAUUUUGUGGGGUUUUACUUUAAAGAACUGUUAUGUUUCUUAUCUGAUAAACUAGGUGUUCUUUGCAGAUUCACUUCUUAAUUCUUGUCUCUGAUUCCACAUCCACAUAGAAGAUAUAUUCCUGGUGAUUUUCCUCUAAAACUGUCCCAAAGAUAAAAGAUCAGAAGGUCAAAAAUCCUGAAUCAUCGUCCAUCACUUGUUUCUUUGCAGGCAAUUUAGGUAAUUUGUCAUUCAGCCCUAUUGAUCUUUUUC